rnacentral:lncRNA from 1 species
GUUUCCUCAUCCAGAUUAUCGUUAUAUCGUUUCGAGGGGUGUUGCCCUCGACUCCACGCCACUGAAAACCAACGUUCAGUAAGAUUUCCAGGCUGGAAAAUGCCCUUGCGGCAGCUCUUCCUACUUUUUUGUCUGUGCUUUCUUUGUACUUCGUUAACAACCGUUGAAAGUCAGGUGCUGCCUAAAUGUUUAGAUGGAGAAGGUGAGUACUUUUGUUUUGUUAUUAGGCGUUUCUUUAUUUUUCUUUCGCUAUUUAACUUCAAAAUGUACUUCAGGAACGAUGAAAUAAAAAUACUAACCUAAAUUGCAGGAGUCCCUUUUGUGUGGAUCCCGCAUCGUAAAUAAUUCUUCUUUAACGGUGAUGUAGAUAUACACUGAUCAAAACGAAAAAGGAGCCACUAACUUGAUUUAAUGUAAAUUGUUAAUUGCAUUAGUACCUUAGGCUGUGGG